GCUGAUGACGCCUAUUUGCUACUCUUGACUGUCAGGAUGACGAGAGAGCUUACCACCAAUACUUAUUCUGAGGCAUUAGACGCUCGUCACUUUGUGUCUAUGGACAGAUAUUUCUCCUUUGUGACGCUUGGUUCUUUUCUUCCAGGUCUGGUGAUGUCAGGCAUGUGGCUCAAGAAUGGCUGCUUAAACCCAAGAUGGCGGAGUCAGCGCUUGAAGGUCUCGCAGCCAGUUGAGGACUUGAAGCUUCUGUGACUUGUCGUUUACUUGAAGGGACAGGGCUUGGACGUUCCGGCAACCUAACCGUUCGUGAAGUGGAAUGUGUCAUAUGUAGCCUGCCCUGCAGCCCAACGGACAUCACUGGAGACCUCCCGGAUGCUGCGAUUUUUCAAGGGCCUGCGGAGAAGAUCCUGGUGAAAGGGCACGGUGCUCGGGGCACUGCUUGGCUAAACCUGGUCAGAACAUCUUUUGGGCGCUGAAGCAGCAGUUGCACAAUGAAGUCUUGCCAUUCAGAUCGGAUUCAAUCCAUUGAAUCUCAGGACCUCUUCAGGGAAUUCUGUCAGUAAUGGCGAUUUUUAACAAAGAUCCAGGGUCUGCUUAUACAGCUGUGCACCACAAUUCUGAAAGUUACUGAAGUCAGAAGCUUGUCGGCAGCUAUGAAUUGCAGAGACCCUCAGCAGUGACUUAAGACCGGGCCUGUGAACAAUCCUCCUAUGGAACUGAAGAUCGUUGGUCAUCGGGAUCAAAGGACCAUCAUUGAUACCAUGUGCAGAAUCUGACUUUAUUUCACGUGUUUAUAAUAAACCUGUGUUUCUUGAUGUAAACUUGUG